AAUCAGGAAACUGUUGUGUUAAGCCGAUUAGAAAAUGCCGAUGGCCAAUGAUGCCGAUGACGGAGUGAUGGGUGAAGGAUGCUGAUAGCCUGAGGAAGGAGACGGUGGCUACUGAUUAUUGCCGAUUGGCCGCCAAUGCCGAUGGAGAGCGAUUGAUCGCCGAUGCCGAUGGAGGAGAGCGUAGAGAUUGCUAAGGAACCUGCAAGGAGUAUGCCGAUGAAGCAAGAGCUU
rnacentral:lncRNA from 1 species